rnacentral:rRNA from 1 species
GUUUUUUACCAUGAAGCACUCUAAUUCCAUCUGAUCUUGAAAGCUAAAUUGCAUCUGGUUAGUACUUGGGUGGGAGACCACCAAGGAAUGCCAAGGGUUUUAGGCU